rnacentral:sRNA from 1 species
AAUUAGCGCGUUAGGGAUUGAAGUGGCAUCCUUUUUAAACUGAACUUUUUUCAGUUUAAAAAGAUAGAACGGAAAGCCUGUUAAAAC